AGCGGCGGACGGGUGAGUAACACGUGGGUAACCUGCCUGUAAGACUGGGAUAACUCCGGGAAACCGGGGCUAAUACCGGAUGCUUGAUUGAACCGCAUGGUUCAAUCAUAAAAGGUGGCUUUCAGCUACCACUUGCAGAUGGACCCGCGGCGCAUUAGCUAGUUGGUGAGGUAACGGCUCACCAAGGCGACGAUGCGUAGCCGACCUGAGAGGGUGAUCGGCCACACUGGGACUGAGACACGGCCCAGACUCCUACGGGAGGCAGCAGUAGGGAAUCUUCCGCAAUGGACGAAAGUCUGACGGAGCAACGCCGCGUGAGUGAUGAAGGUUUUCGGAUCGUAAAACUCUGUUGUUAGGGAAGAACAAGUACCGUUCGAAUAGGGCGGUACCUUGACGGUACCUAACCAGAAAGCCACGGCUAACUACGUGCCAGCAGCCGCGGUAAUACGUAGGUGGCAAGCGUUGUCCGGAAUUAUUGGGCGUAAAGCGCGCGCAGGCGGUUUCUUAAGUCUGAUGUGAAAGCCCCCGGCUCAACCGGGGAGGGUCAUUGGAAACUGGGGAACUUGAGUGCAGAAGAGGAGAGUGGAAUUCCACGUGUAGCGGUGAAAUGCGUAGAGAUGUGGAGGAACACCAGUGGCGAAGGCGACUCUCUGGUCUGUAACUGACGCUGA
rnacentral:rRNA from 1 species